rnacentral:rRNA from 1 species
CCUACGGGAGACAGCAGUGAGGAAUAUUGGUCAAUGGCCGCAGGGCUGAACCAGCCAAGUCGCGUGAGGGAUGACGGUCCUAUGGAUUGUAAACCUCUUUUGUCAGGGAGCAAAGGGCGCCACGUGUGGCGCUUUGCGAGUACCUGAAGAAAAAGCAUCGGCUAACUCCGUGCCAGCAGCCGCGGUAAUACGGAGGAUGCGAGCGUUAUCCGGAUUUAUUGGGUUUAAAGGGUGCGCAGGCGGAAUGUCAAGUCAGCGGUAAAAUUUCGGGGCUCAACCCCGUCGUGCCGUUGAAACUGGCGUUCUUGAGUGAGCGAGAAGUAUGCGGAAUGCGUGGUGUAGCGGUGAAAUGCAUAGAUAUCACGCAGAACUCCGAUUGCGAAGGCAGCAUACCGGCGCUCAACUGACGCUCAUGCACGAAAGCGUGGGUAUCGAACAGGAUUAGAUACUCCGGUAGUC